rnacentral:snRNA from 1 species
AUACUUACCUGGCAGGGGAAACACCAUGAUCAGGAAGGUGGUUUUCCCAGGGCGAGGUUCACCCAUUGCACUGCGGGUGUGCUGACCUCUGCGAUUUCCCCAAAUGCGGGAAACUCGACUGC